rnacentral:lncRNA from 1 species
UGCAGUUUUUGUCAUUUAGGCCUAAGAUUUGAUGUUUAUAAAUUAUUUUUUAAAAUAAAAAAUAAAUGAGCUUUUUAAGAUCGAUUGAUUGAUGUGUAAUGUGUUUGAUCAGCUGGUGUUUCUUGUAAUCUUAUCUUAUAUGACAUAACUUACAUAUAAAACUUUGUCCUAAAUAGCUAAUAAUUAUAAAAUAUUUUUUUAUAAUUUCAAAACAAAAGAUGUUUAAGAUAAUUGAAAAGACAGAUAAUAGAAAACAAAAGAAAUUUUAGUUAAUUAUUAUCAAUAUAAAGGUUUGUAAUAAUUUUUUAAAGGCUAAUUUGCAUAAGAAAUUCAUUGCCUUUGUAUUUUUGCAAACAUAUGCCACUUUUUUGAAUUUUGGAGGUUAAAUUUAAAUUUUUAGUAAACUAACUAAAAUACUCUUAUUUCUCUCUCUCUUUUUUCUCCCUCUAAUUUGUUUUUCUUUGCUUUCUUCAUCUCUCUCCUUCUGAUUGUUCUCUUUUUUCUUCUCUUGCUUCCUCCUCCUCAUCCUCUUCCACUACCCCUUCCCUCCUCCUCCACCACCACCUCAUAUCGACACUGUGCUCCUCUCUCCUACCUCACCCAACACCUCUGUCGACGUCUAGAGCGGUGGCGCAGGCUCGAAUAUGGCACAGAUCACAAAGGUAAGGCAACAACAACGACAAUGAGGGUGCUAUAUGAUUUGAGGAUGAUAGGGAGGGAGAGCGCGUCGAGACAGGGCCGACUGUUAUGAUAGAGGGCGAGGGAGAGGGUACGGUAGUGUAGAAAAAUGCAAAGGGUGAAAGAAAAGGAAGAAAAAGAAAAAAGUAAAUAAAUAUUUUUCUUCUCGUAAAAAGGCCAUCAUGUGUCAUGGCUGCUAAGAAAACACCAAAACAUAGAAAAGAAAGAAAAAGAAGACGAAGUUGCAUUAUUUGUGUAAUGACCCGACCCGCUAGCAAUUGUCAUGCCCCGGAUUACCACGUUUCCCCGGGCACGCCAAUAGACCCGCCAUAUACAUAGAAAUUUUCAGUGUAUAUGAAGCGAUAGCUGUACCUGCAAACGAAUAGAAGCUACAACCAAAGCACAGAGUUGCUAAAACUAAAAUAUAUAUAAAACUUAAAAGGUUCACUGUACAUACAAAAGUCUACCAUAACACCUCGCUCCAACAAGUAAACAAAACGCGUAAUAUGUACAUGAACACAACCCACUACCUCUGACGGGUACUCUGCUAGCACGGCGGCCACUGGUGACAAGGAUCUAGCUCGCGACUCCCUUCCCACGAUCGAAAU